rnacentral:rRNA from 1 species
UGCGAAGGGGGGACGGAGAAGGCUAUGUUAGCCGGGCGACGGUUGUCCCGGUUUAAGCAUGUAGGCUGGUUAUCCAGGCAAAUCCGGAUAAUCAAGGCUGAGAUGUGAUGACGAAGCACUACGGUGCUGAAGUAACAAAUGCCCUGCUUCCAGGAAAAGCCUCUAAGCAUCAGGUAACAUCAAAUCGUACCCCAAACCGACACAGGUGGUCAGGUAGAGAAUACCAAGGCGCUUGAGAGAACUCGGGUGAAGGAACUAGGCAAAAUGGUGCCGUAACUUCGGGAGAAGGCACGCUGGUGUGUAGGUGAAGUCCCUGCGGAUGGAGCUGAGACCAGUCGAAGAUACCAGCUGGCUGCAACUGUUUAUUAAAAACACAGCACUGUGCAAACACGAAAGUGGACGUAUACGGUGUGACGCCUGCCCGGUGCCGGAAGGUUAAUUGAUGGGGUUAUCCGUAAGGAGAAGCUCUUGAUCGAAGCCCCGGUAAACGGCGGCCGUAACUAUAACGGUCCUAAGGUAGCGAAAUUCCUUGUCGGGUAAGUUCCGACCUGCACGAAUGGCGUAAUGAUGGCCAGGCUGUCUCCACCCGAGACUCAGUGAAAUUGAACUCGCUGUGAAGAUGCAGUGUACCCGCGGCAAGACGGAAAGACCCCGUGAACCUUUACUAUAGCUUGACACUGAACAUUGAGCCUUGAUGUGUAGGAUAGGUGGGAGGCUUUGAAGCGUGGACGCCAGUCUGCGUGGAGCCAACCUUGAAAUACCACCCUUUAAUGUUUGAUGUUCUAACGUUGGCCCCUGACCGGGGUUGCGGACAGUGUCUGGUGGGUAGUUUGACUGGGGCGGUCUCCUCCCAAAGCGUAACGGAGGAGCACGAAGGUUAGCUAAUCCUGGUCGGACAUCAGGAGGUUAGUGCAAUGGCAUAAGCUAGCUUGACUGCGAGCGUGACGGCGCGAGCAGGUGCGAAAGCAGGUCAUAGUGAUCCGGUGGUUCUGAAUGGAAGGGCCAUCGCUCAACGGAUAAAAGGUACUCCGGGGAUAACAGGCUGAUACCGCCCAAGAGUUCAUAUCGACGGCGGUGUUUGGCACCUCGAUGUCGGCUCAUCACAUCCUGGGGCUGAAGUAGGUCCCAAGGGUAUGGCUGUUCGCCAUUUAAAGUGGUACGCGAGCUGGGUUUAGAACGUCGUGAGACAGUUCGGUCCCUAUCUGCCGUGGGCGCUGGAGAAUUGAGGGGGGCUGCUCCUAGUACGAGAGGACCGGAGUGGACGCAUCACUGGUGUUCGGGUUGUCAUGCCAAUGGCACUGCCCGGUAGCUAAAUGCGGAAGAGAUAAGUGCUGAAAGCAUCUAAGCACGAAACUUGCCCCGAGAUGAGUUCUCCCUGAGACUUUAAGUCUCCUGAAGGAACGUUGAAGACGACGACGUUGAUAGGCCGGGUGUGUAAGCGCAGCGAUGCGUUGAGCUAACCGGUACUAAUGAACCGUGAGGCUUAACCUU